rnacentral:sRNA from 1 species
UUCUGACUGUUAAACUAUCACCCUGCGU